GAUGAAGAACGUAGCGAAAUGCGAUACUUGGUGUGAAUUGCAGAAUCCCGUGAACCAUCGAGUCUUUGAACGCAAGUUGCGCCCGAAGCCAUUAGGCCGAGGGCACGCCUGCCUGGGCGUCACACGUCGUUGCCCCCCUAUCUACUCCUUCGGGAUUGCGGGGGGCGGAUGAUGGCCUCCCGUGCGCCUCGUCGCGCGGUUGGCCUAAAUGCCAAGUCCUCGGCGACGCACGCCACGACAAUCGGUGGUUGCGAAACCUCGGUUGCCCGUCGUGUGCGGUCGUCGCGCAUCGAGGGCUCGAAAAAAUUGCCGGGCUUCGGCUCGACUUUCAACGCGACCCCAGGUCAGGCGGGGUUACCCGCUGAAUUUAAGCAUAUCAAUAAGCGGAGGA
rnacentral:misc_RNA from 1 species